GAGGGGGAUGUGAGUUCGUACACAGUCCGGGGAGAACUGCGUGGGGAGGGAGCCGGGGAGGGGGGCGAUCGCGAGGCUUCGGGACGGACGGUGAAACUUCUCCGACUCACUGGGACCAAGGCCACAAGGUUCUCCUGGGCAGAGACUGUGUCUUGUUCAUCUCUGACUCACUGGAUCCCGGGGCGAUGCUCACCACAGAGGAAAAGCUGGGCCAACAGAAGCUUGCUGAAUGAAUAAAUGAGCCUGUAAAUGGAACAGCCAGGAUGAACUGCACAGGCUUCAAAUGCAGGCACACAGAUAUGCAUAGCCCCUUACCAUCUCGCCCCUCUCCUACUGAGAUCACCAGGCAGGACUGAGGGCUGAUUGGCUCCACAGGGUCCAGCUGUUCUUGGCUCCAGGUGACAUUCUGGUGUCCUCUAGGUGUUUCUUCAUCAUCUUGGGUAUGCUGCUGUUCUUGCCAUGAGCUGGCAUAGAUUCACUUGGUGAUGGCCUGGCCUUGGCUGUAAAGAUGAGAACUGGCUGGCAGGAUGACUUAUCAGCAAAGUUGAGACAAGCUGGAAUGAGAAAAAUCGUGCACUACAAAGAAUAGUCCAAGGAAGUCAAGGAAUGAAGUCUGAAGCAAUCAAGUUCACAUUAUAGAGCCUCUGUGCACCACCGUGGCCAUACCAGGGCAAUCCCAGGAGAAUGGAAGUUCAGAAAAUAUGAAAUUUAAAACAAUAACGAUAAACUUUUUUUUUUGACAGGGUCUCACUGUGUAGCCCUGACUGGCCAGGGAACUCACUAUGUAGACCAGGCUGGCCUUGAACUCAGAAGCCCUCCUGUUGCUGCCUCAGAGUGCUGGGAUUAAAGGUGUGUGCCACCAUGCCAGAAAAAAAUGACAGCAUUUAAAUGUUCCGACAGUGACAUGGUGAUCGCACUUGCACAUUU